UCUAGCAGCUCUGACGUUGCAGUGACCGAGGCUGGAGGCUACUGAGCAUCGGGGGAAGGGGUGAGGGAGGAUGCGGGGCGCGUGCGUGAGGGGCUUACUGAUGAAAGCUAGGAGAGUGGAGGCUCCACGCUGCCGGGACACCUGCCCCGCGCCCUCCUGGGGACCGGCAGCGUGCUCCAAACUCGGGUGCGGUAGUGGUUGGAGAAUGGGAACCUUUGGGGUUGGAGGUGGAAUGGCCAACUGGGCAUCCGCGGAGGAAAGGAAAGCUGGGCGCUUGGGGCGGAGGGCCACAUUUUGGGGUACGCCAGAACCAACCAGGGCCUAAUAAACGAGAGGAGUUGCAUUGUGGGAAGAAUGCAGCCUGAGGAUGGCCGCAGGAGUGACUGGCGGGAAUGCAGCCCAGAAAGCUGCUGGCAGCGCCUGGAGCUACCGGCAGGGAUGGAGCCGUGUGUCGGCUCCUUGGGUGGCCGGUAGACGGCCCGGGUUGGCGGGAAGGGGACCGGAGUGGUUGGGGGAGCUGGGAGCGCAGAGCCUUUGGAAAUCCUUUGUCCCUAGCCCGCCCCAAGAAGUUCCUUCCCUCUUCCGGAUCCUACACCCGCAGACCUCGCCAGCCCUCCCUGAUAUCUGCGCUGUGCAGCUGUUUUGGGGACUGGGUGUGAAGCGCACCAGAAGAUACGAAGGGCUGGGAGCGCGCACCUGCCUAGGCGCGAAGAGACCAGAGUGGAGUAUGGAGGAGCCCGAGGACCUCAUGCGAUUCCGCCUACCCGCCCGGCGCCUCCCAGCGCCCAAAUCGGGGAUGGGUUGGGGACAGAGGGAGGCAGGCAGGGGCGACCGAGAUCGUUCCCCCUUUUUUUUCCUGCUUUUUCUUUGUUUCAAGCACAGCCCCUUUUAACUGGCUGGGCACUUCUUGCAGAGGGAUGUGUCUCCUUAAAAUGGCGACAGGAAAUCCCACCUGCGCGUCAGCCAAUUAGACUGUCGUUCAAGCGCGAAUUUGCAGGGAGGAAAUUUGAGCUUUUUAUUGACAGAGAUGGUUUAGUCUUCGUGUUCCAUCAAAACAGGAAAGGGAAGGUGAAUCAUAAUUCAGAAAUUAAUCUACCUGGAGUCGUUCAUGGGGGCAGACUGAGUAGUCACUGUGUGGUAGGGGCUGUAGCUUUUUAAUCCCCGGUGGAAAAGUGAGAUGACACCCAGAUUUUAAGUUUCUCAUUAUUGAUUAAAAUUCUCAUUCUCUUCGAUGGCAGGCGUUGU
rnacentral:lncRNA from 1 species